CAUCGUCAAGUAAGAGAUAUGGCAGCAGUUUUAGGAAGAAGAAAGAUAGCGAAGCUAAUGCAAUAACCAGUGGGAGACAGAGGAGGCCUCAGAUCAGAAGGAAUCAACCACCCCAUCAACACCAUCAUUAAGUAUCUUAGUCAUUCUUGUAUUUUUUAAUAAUCAAGCAACACCAAUUCAACAACAACAACAACAACAACAACAACAACAGCAACA
rnacentral:lncRNA from 1 species